GUGUCAGCCGCCGCGGUAAUACGUAGGGUGCGAGCGUUAAUCGGAAUUACUGGGCGUAAAGCGUGCGCAGGCGGUUCGUUGUGUCGGUGGUGAAAUCCCCGGGCUUAACCUGGGAAUGGCCAUGGAAACUGGCGAACUGGAGUGUGGCAGAGGGGGGUGGAAUUCCGCGUGUAGCAGUGAAAUGCGUAGAGAUGCGGAGGAACACCGAUGGCGAAGGCAGCCCCCUGGGCUAGCACUGACGCUCAGGCACGAAAGCGUGGGGAGCAAACAGGAUUAGAUACCCUGGUAGUCC
rnacentral:rRNA from 1 species